GCGAUUCUUAUGCCUUUGUCUCUUCUUUCUCUGGUUUCUGCUUUCAAGCUCUCUUCAGUGUACACGUCAAAAACAACAUCAAAUCUUGUAAUCGUGCCUUCAGAAUUUAAGAUGAAUGGCCAAAAUAUGUUUUUGCUGUACUCUCCAUACGUCUUAGCAGCUGAAGAUCUGAUCAUUUGUACAACAGCAACCCUAUCAAACACUUUUGCUGUCAAAUGAAAACUUUGACAGUGAAAAAGUUGAUCAGGAUGGGAUUUUUUUGUUAUGAAGAUAUAUAGAGAGCGAAGCGGCGUGCAUAGUUCGCUUUCAUAUUCGAAAUCUAUAGUCUCACUUCUAAAAUCACUUCUAAAUCACAGUUAUUGGAGUCGCGAUAUAGACAGUUCAAAAUCACUUCUAAGGGAUAAUACAUUGAC